rnacentral:rRNA from 1 species
GCUCAAUAUGAACUCUAGAGGCAGGCUUAAUGCAUGCAUGUCGAGGGGCAGUACGUCUUCGGAUGAUGGGACUCGGCAAACGGGUGCGUAACACGUAUGCAACCUUCUUGUUGCAGUGGGAUACCCCAGGGAAUUUUGAUAUAAUACCACAUAUUAUGGUUGAGAGGCAUCUGUUGGUCAUCAAAGAAUUUUGGUAUAGGAUGGGCGUGCGUCUGAUUAGGUAGUUGGCGGGGUAACGGCUCACCAAGCCCAUGAUCAAUAGGUGAUGUGAGAGCAUGAUCAGCCACAUGGGCACUGAGACACGGGCCAGACUCCUACGGGAGGCAGCAGUAAGGAAUAUUGGGCAAUGGACGAAAGUCUGACCCAGCCAUGCCGCGUGAAGGAUGACGGGCCCUAUGGUUUGUAAACUUCUUUUAUCUGGGGAGAAAACGUUGUCAUUCUUGGGAGUUUGACAGUACCAGAGGAAUAAGCACCGGCUAACUCCGUGCCAGCAGCCGCGGUAAUACGGAGGGUGCAAGCGUUAUCCGGAUUCAUUGGGUUUAAAGGGUGCGUAGGUGGGCUUGUAAGUCAGUGGUGAAAUCCCCGAGCUUAACUUGGGAACUGCCGUUGAUACUAUAGAUCUUGAAUCUAGAGGAGGUAAGCGGAAUAUGUCAUGUAGCGGUGAAAUGCUUAGAUAUCAUGUAGAACACCAAUUGCGUAGGCAGCUUACCACACUAUCAUUGACACUGAGGCACGAAAGCGUGGGGAUCAAACAGGAUUAGAUACCCUGGUAGUCCACGCCGUAAACUAUGGAUACUGGACAUCAGCGAUACACAUCUGGUGUCUAGCGAAAGCAU